AGACAGAGAGGCGCUGACUGACUGACUGACUGGCCGGGGAGCAGCAGCAGCAGACGGCGGUCCAUAUCUACCUAUUUUCGGCUCUGCUCUCCCCUUCCACGUCUCUUUUCUUUCCUUUCUUCCUUUUCUGAAGCCGGCUGAGAAAAAAAAUGUCAGCCAGACCGGGAUUCUACCGGCAGGAGCUGAACAAGACCGUAUGGGAGGUUCCGGAGCGGUACCAGAACCUGACGCCGGUGGGCUCUGGAGCCUACGGCACGGUGUGCUCGGCUUAUGACGUGGUCUCCAGGCAGAAGGUGGCGGUGAAGAAACUCUCCCGGCCCUUCCAGUCUCUGAUCCACAGCCGCCGCUCGUACCGCGAACUCCGGCUUCUCAAGCACAUGAAACACGAGAACGUCAUCGGGCUGCUGGACGUCUUCACGCCGGCGGGGACACUAGAAGACUUCAACGAGCUCUACCUGGUGACCAACUUGAUGGGGGCAGACCUCAACAACAUCGUCAAGUUUCAGAGGCUGUCAGACGAGCAUGUGCAGUUCCUAAUUUACCAGCUGCUCCGCGGCCUUAAGUACAUCCAUUCAGCCGGACUCAUCCACCGGGACCUCAAGCCAAGUAACGUGGCCGUGAACGAAGACUGUGAGCUCAGGAUACUUGACUUUGGAUUGGCCAGGCAGACGGACGAUGAGAUGACAGGGUAUGUGGCGACACGUUGGUACCGAGCACCAGAGAUCAUGCUGAACUGGAUGCACUACAACCAGAACGUUGAUAUUUGGUCUGUGGGCUGCAUCAUGGGAGAACUGCUGAAAGGAAAAGUCUUGUUCCCCGGCACCGACUAUAUCGACCAGCUGAAGAGAAUCAUGGAGGUGGUUGGCACCCCGACACCGGACCUGCUGAAGAAGAUCUGCUCCGAACACGCCCAGAAGUACAUCCAGUCUCUUCCCUUCAUGCCCCAACAAGACAUGGAAAAGAUCUUCAGAGGAGCAAACCCUCUUGCUGCUCUGUCCGUACCGUCAGUCUGCCGCGGACAAACCCUCCUCCACUUACCUUCCUGUUCCUGUCGCCCUGGCAGCCAUCGACCUGCUGAAGCGCAUGCUGGUUCUGGACUGUGAUGAGCGGAUCUCAGCCAGCGAGGCCCUGGCCCACCCUUACUUCUCGCAGUACCACGACCCAGACGAUGAGCCGGAGGCUCCGCCUUACGACCAAACACUGGAGAGCAAGGACCGGACUCUGGAGGAGUGGAAAGAGCUGGUGUUCGAAGAGGUGAGCAGCUUUAAGGCGUCGGGCAGUAAGACGGACAGCCUCCAGGCGGAGCAGUAAGGGCCCCUCUGCUCCACCGUCAACCCAGACAAAACAGCCACACACUCACUGGAUGCAAAACAGACCGUGGAGAAAAGCAACAUUAAUUGUGUUUGAUUGUUUUUGACGUGAAAAGGGCAACAGCGGUCUCCAUGGGGACACAAACAUUCCGGGCGCAGGGAUCAUGUUUGGGAUGGUGUUCAAAAGGACAUCUCUGCAGCAGAAAGUUGCUUCUUCCUGUUACAUUUCCACUGACGGACGGUGAAAUGAGGAACCGUCUGAGUGUCGAAAGGAUUGGUGGGGGGGAGGAACUUUCGGUGGCAGAUCUGUCCUUACAGGCUGAGAGAACGGUAAAGACAAAGGUAUAAAUACAUAAAUACGCACACUAGGAUUUCCAAAGCAACGUCAGGGACAUAUCACCCAUCAGUUCCAUGAACCUAGUGCUUUCAUUUAUGGGAUUCAUCUUUAACCUUCUGGAGUUCCUUCGUUUUGAUUCGCUACGUUUAAAUGACAGAGAAAUUUCAUGAAUCAACCAUUUUUUAAAAGUAUCAUUGCCAUUUUUAACUUCUGUUCUCAUCAUGUAAUAAAAGUUACAAAUGUUUUGGAAUUUUAACUCCUUAAAUGUCUAUGUUAGUGAAUAAAUAUCUAAAUUUUUUAAGAAAAAAAACCCCACAAAAAGUUGUUUUUUUCCCCCAAUCUGUUUAUGAAAUUGAUCAAUUUACACAACAAACAAAAACUAUGAAUUAAUUUUAACAUCAGGGGAAAAAAAACUAAACUCAAACUAAACUCAGAUUUUAUUGGUAGCGUGUUCUAACCGUUCGAAUGGUAGUAAAUGGCAACACAACUAUUAGAAGGAACACACUUUAUGAUAUUUAAUUUAUUAAAAACUUUAAAGGUAAGAUGAUAAAGAUUUCACCUGGUCAUGUCUAACACAGGAUGCAUUAACAAUCAGGUUUUCCAAAACAAAAUGAUAAAAAAACCCCCGCAAAAAACAAAUUGAGGGACCCAGAAGGUUAAAGGUUAAAGGUCGCCUGCGUUACACUGAAGCAUGAUUUAUUCUCAUUUUACAGUCGUGUCUUAUAACUGGAACUGUAUUGUAAUCUCUCUCUGUUUCUAAUGCACAAUAGCAGAAUUUUCUACUUGUUCAGUCAAACAAACUGCUGCUUCGUCUCUCCUGCUUAUUUACACCUGAACACCAACUGUGCUGUUAUUAGCAAGGUAAUGAAUAUAUGCCAAAGCUGGAAGAGUGUGACGGCGCUGCAGGUGUGUGUUUACUCUGGAACCUCGCUCUCAUACACAUCCUGCUGGCGGCUGAUUGUUGGUCACCUGUUAGCUUUGGCUGCUCUGCUUCAGGCUCCUUCGUUUGCUGCCCGUAUGUGAGUUUACACUGAUUAAUGUUAAAUUCUGCAAACAGCCUCAGACGGUAUCUAUCCAAUAAAGUACAGGAGUCUCAUAUAAUGUGGAGGUCAAUCAAACAAGGCAACAUUCUGGCUGUUUAUGGCCACCAUAAAGCUCUAUUUGUGCUCCCCAGGUCUAAUGAUUGCAAUUAAAAGAAAAUAGAGUCUAACCAGGGUCAACUUUGUUUAGCUUCGUGUCUGUCUUUCAUCCUUAGCGCAACAUUUUUGCCCGACAUCAUCUGAUGCAAACCCUCAAUUGAAAUGCAUGACGCGUGUAGUCGGUGCAUGUGAACAUCGUUGCUGCAAACUGGAGUUUUGUUCAGACCAUUUGUUCACUAAAACAAAUGGCUACACUGCAAUACGCGAGGUUUCUAAAGCAGGUGGAAGAUUACAAUAUUUUAGGGUCCUUCUAGAGAGUGCUAGGCAUGGGCUAGUAUGAUAUUCACCCAGUUCUACAUCAUACAAAUACCACAGUGUCUCUCUGUUUAAAAUGUUCAACAUAUAAACAAUGAUAUGGAAACGUCCUAUAAUCAUGCAACGCAUCACAUUCAUUGUCACACGACCAACCUCCUGCUUCUAAAACACAAACAAGACGGAAAUAAAGAUCAGUCGUUAAUAUCAACCCAGUUUUACUGAUCAGACCAAAACCGACAUGUUAAAAAAUGACCAACAUCAGCAUAAAUACAUAUAUAUAUAUAUUGUGGAUCCCUAAAAUUUAGUCACCAGAAAUAAAAAAUGCAUAUCAUUAUCUAGUUGUUAUAAGUCAGCUAUCAAAGUGCAAUCAAAAUACUACAAACAAAAUAACACGGCAUAUUGAUUAUUACAGUUGUAUAAUGUUAACUACAGCAUGUACCUAUUAUUAUAAACAGACUAUUUUCAAAAUGUUGAACAAAUAUGUGGUGAAUGAAUCAGAUGAGUCAGGUGGCCAGCCGGACAUCCUGCUUGUAAAUGUAUGACUAUUGUUUAAAAUAGUCUUAGAAAGAGUGAUGGCUGGUGCUGCCUUACUGUCCACUCAACCCCAACUAUCCACAACUGGAAGUAUUUCCAAAUUGCCAAAUUUGUUUUUCUUGUGAGUUAGAUAAAAAGUAUAGUAUUUUUAUUUCAGCCUGUAUUUUUAUUCAUAAGCUGACUGAAAUAACGCCACAUCUGAAUAAAACUCUAAUGACUUUAUAAUGACACCAUCUCUUCAUAUCAUUAUAAAGAACUUUAAAUCAGAAUGGGAGAAACUUUUAGCAGCUUGGAAAUGAAAUAUUUGAUACCAAUAACUGACCCAUGCCUAGAAAAAGAUUUAUGUUAAUUAAUUUUUUUGUUAUAAAAAGUUAAUUGUAUUUCUGAAUUUAGAUCAAGUUUGCCCAAGAUUUUUAUGGAAGCUAAUGCUAAUGAGUUUGCUUAAAAGACCCUGAACACGUAGCCCAACAGGCUAAAGUGCUAAUAUUUUUCUAGUGUUAGCUUUGUUAGCUCAUUGGGUUAGAAUCUGUUGUAAUGUAACUAGAAGCAUUACAAUUGUAGAUUUUCAGGCAUUUCUGUAAUCUAGGGUUUUCUGUAACUUACCAUUUUGUUUUUUAUUCAAAUGCACAAAAUCAAACAGCUUUUGGCUAAAUUUACUCAAGUUUAAUGUACCAGGUGUCAUUUUACAUAUUGCUAAAUUAGCAGCACAAAGAGCAAAUGUUUACAAGUACAGUCCAAAAAUGUUUUUUUUAAUGUUUUUUUAUUAUUAUUAUUAUUUCUUUUGCUUUCAUGUAGCAUUUUCAGCAAGUUGUCCAUUAACACUGGAUGAAAAAUAUUGAGCCUAUUGUCCUAGUAAAUCGAAACGGUCUCCGUCUGAGCAUACUAAAAGUCUGAAUGUUUAAACAUGAUAUGUUUAUGUUAAUGUAUCUGUGGUGGACUUGAAUAACAGCUGCAUACUGAAUGUUUAUGUUUACUGUAUGUAUGUAUGUUUGUUAAAAGUUAGUGUUGGCUUUUGAAUACACGUUGGCAUGUGAUUCAAUUGUUUGGGUUUCAGAUCACUGCAAGGAUUGUCAGUUCUUUUAUCAACUGGUAGUUAUGGAAGUUUGAGCUUCAACAGAAUAAAUACUAAUGUUUUCUUGUUUUUUUUGCACCAAAUAUUUUCUGUGAUUUUUAUGUAUUCUGGCUGUAUUAUUAAAGAAAAUGUGUUCUUAAAA